rnacentral:rRNA from 1 species
CGAAUGCCAAUUAAUUUAACUUGGGAGUCAGAACAUGGGUGAUAAGGUCCGUGUUCGAAAGGGAAACAGCCCAGACCACCAGCUAAGGUCCCAAAAUAUAUGUUAAGUGGAAAAGGAUGUGGCGUUGCCCAGACAACUAGGAUGUUGGCUUAGAAGCAGCCAUCAUUUAAAGAGUGCGUAAUAGCUCACUAGUCGAGUGACACUGCGCCGAAAAUGUACCGGGGCUAAACAUAUUACCGAAGCUGUGGAUUGUCCUUUGGACAAUGGUAGGAGAGCGUUCUAAGGGCGUUGAAGCAUGAUCGUAAGGACAUGUGGAGCGCUUAGAAGUGAGAAUGCCGGUGUGAGUAGCGAAAGACGGGUGAGAAUCCCGUCCACCGAUUGACUAAGGUUUCCAGAGGAAGGCUCGUCCGCUCUGGGUUAGUCGGGUCCUAAGCUGAGGCCGACAGGCGUAGGCGAUGGAUAACAGGUUGAUAUUCCUGUACCACCUAUAAUCGUUUUAAUCGAUGGGGGGACGCAGUAGGAUAGGCGAAGCGUGCGAUUGGAUUGCACGUCUAAGCAGUAAGGCUGAGUAUUAGGCAAAUCCGGUACUCGUUAAGGCUGAGCUGUGAUGGGGAGAAGACAUUGUGUCUUCGAGUCGUUGAUUUCACACUGCCGAGAAAAGCCUCUAGAUAGAAAAUAGGUGCCCGUACCGCAAACCGACACAGGUAGUCAAGAUGAGAAUUCUAAGGUGAGCGAGCGAACUCUCGUUAAGGAACUCGGCAAAAUGACCCCGUAACUUCGGGAGAAGGGGUGCUCUUUAGGGUUAACGCCCAGAAGAGCCGCAGUGAAUAGGCCCAAGCGACUGUUUAUCAAAAACACAGGUCUCUGCUAAACCGUAAGGUGAUGUAUAGGGGCUGACGCCUGCCCGGUGCUGGAAGGUUAAGAGGAGUGGUUAGCUUCUGCGAAGCUACGAAUCGAAGCCCCAGUAAACGGCGGCCGUAACUAUAACGGUCCUAAGGUAGCGAAAUUCCUUGUCGGGUAAGUUCCGACCCGCACGAAAGGCGUAACGAUUUGGGCACUGUCUCAACGAGAGACUCGGUGAAAUCAUAGUACCUGUGAAGAUGCAGGUUACCCGCGACAGGACGGAAAGACCCCGUGGAGCUUUAC